rnacentral:rRNA from 1 species
CCUACGGGUGGCUGCAGUGGGGAAUAUUGGACAAUGGGCGAAAGCCUGAUCCAGCCAUGCCGCGUGUGUGAAGAAGGCCUUCGGGUUGUAAAGCACUUUCAGUGGGGAAGAAAGCCUUGGGGCUAAUACCCUCGAGGAAGGACAUCACCCACAGAAGAAGCACCGGCUAACUCCGUGCCAGCAGCCGCGGUAAUACGGAGGGUGCGAGCGUUAAUGGGAAUUACUGGGCGUAAAGCGCGCGUAGGCGGUCUGAUAAGCCGGUUGUGAAAGCCCCGGGCUCAACCUGGGAACGGCAUCCGGAACUGUCAGGCUAGAGUGCAGGAGAGGAAGGUAGAAUUCCCGGUGUAGCAGUGAAAUGCGUAGAGAUCGGGAGGAAUACCAGUGGCGAAGGCGGCCUUCUGGACUGACACUGACGCUGAGGUGCGAAAGCGUGGGUAGCAAACAGGAUUAGAUACCCCAGUAGUC